rnacentral:lncRNA from 1 species
CUUUCCAGAGGAGCAGAGCCACUCAGAAGUUUAACUGUGAUGAUGAGUUACAGAUGCAAAGCGUGUCUAUAAAUCAGGCUAUAGGAGCUGGUCACGGGGAGCUGCAGGAAGAGAAAAUACAUGGAUACGAUUCAGUGUUUAAAAGCUGGUUAGACACAGAGCAGAUUGCUGACGGAAACAGCAGAAGAUGGAUAAGGCUGGUUGCAGGACACCCUGAGGAAAGAAGGCAAACUUUUGUAAGAAAAACAAGACAGGGAUGUAGAGAGCUCACUGCAGAAAGAUAUCUCCGCUGUGUUCCUACUUCUGUCUCAUUAUAAGUGACAUUUAGGCAGGCAGUGGGAGUCAACUAAAGUAAAUAGCUACAAAUCUGGCAUCCCGUUGUUAAGCUCUGGACGGGCACUGAAAAAAAACCAGCCAUGCUCCAAGCCACAGAGCCGUGUAUGAGGCAUGUCUAAGAGAAAAACAGAGUAUCAACCAGUAAUGACAUUUUUUCAGAUUUAACUUCUU